rnacentral:rRNA from 1 species
CAGCCGCCGCGGGAAUACGUAGGGUGCAAGCGUUAAUCGGAAUUACUGGGCGUAAAGCGUGCGCAGGCGGUUUGUUAAGACAGAUGUGAAAUCCCCGGGCUCAACCUGGGAACUGCAUUUGUGACUGGCAAGCUAGAGUAUGGCAGAGGGGGGUGGAAUUCCGCGUGUAGCAGUGAAAUGCGUAGAUAUGCGGAGGAACACCGAUGGCGAAGGCAGCCCCCUGGGCCAAUACUGACGCUCAUGCACGAAAGCGUGGGGAGCAAACAGGAUUAGAUACCCGUGUAGUCCCUGUCUCUUAUAC